rnacentral:lncRNA from 1 species
AAAAAUUGGAAAAAUAGCGUUAAAAUUUAUACACAAUAAUUUUAUGAGAAAAAUGCAUAAAAAAUCAUCAAAAUUGGAGCUUCCUAGCUCCCAAAAUGUCAAAAAUAUGAAUUCGAGUCUUAUACUUAGCAAUGGUCACUUAAGCGACACUUUAAUCGCUUAAGCAACCUGGCCAAAAGGUCAAAAUGUUGCUUAAGCAGCCAAUUUUUCACUUAAGCAACCCAGUCAAAUGGUCAAAGGUUCG